rnacentral:rRNA from 1 species
AUUGAACGCUGGCGGCAGGCCUAACACAUGCAGGUCGAGCGGAUGAAGGGAGCUUGCUCCUGGAUUCAGCGGCGGACGGGUGAGUAAUGCCUAGGAAUCUGCCUGGUAGUGGGGGAUAACGUCCGGAAACGGGCGCUAAUACCGCAUACGUCCUGAGGGAGAAAGUGGGGGAUCUUCGGACCUCACGCUAUCAGAUGAGCCUAGGUCGGAUUAGCUAGUUGGUGGGGUAAAGGCCUACCAAGGCGACGAUCCGUAACUGGUCUGAGAGGAUGAUCAGUCACACUGGAACUGAGACACGGUCCAGACUCCUACGGGAGGCAGCAGUGGGGAAUAUUGGACAAUGGGCGAAAGCCUGAUCCAGCCAUGCCGCGUGUGUGAAGAAGGUCUUCGGAUUGUAAGGCACUUUAAGUUGGGAGGAAGGGCAGUAAGUUAAUACCUUGCUGUUUUGACGUUACCAACAGAAUAAGCACCGGCUAACUUCGUG